UUCUGCACAUCGAAGCUGUUCCUUUGCGCGCCUGAGGGGUACUCCGUGUUUCGGCCAUACCAGCGCCCGCCCAAGCGUCCACCUGCUGAAACAGAUCCAACUUCGCGUCCUCACCGGCGUUUGGUGGCAUCCCUCGUUUUGGCUUCAGCCAUCCUAACAGUGAAGACCAUUCGAGAUGCAGAAGACGUGUUACUCCUCUGCCCACGUGCCCUCCUCUCAGGCCCCCCUGCUUCAGGUAAACAACCUUGGCGUCAGCUGCCUUAGAUUCCUGGGUAUCAUCUUCCUAUACAGAUGAGCAGACAAAGCGGCAAGCGGCCCCACUGUGUGAUGCCCGGCAGUUUAUCCACGUUCCUGAGCUUGGACAGCAUGGUCACCAGCCCCCAGGACGUCCCAGUGGCUCUUUGGCAGUCCCCUCCCAUGAUCAAUGGCAGAAGAGAAAAAUCAGGUGAUAAAAACCACAGUUCCAUCCUGAGCCCUCUCUUCCUUGGCUGCUGUCUCUGGGAUCACUCGCUCUGUGGAAAGCCGGCUACCAUGUUGUGAAGACACGCAGGUCUGACGGGAACCCGUGUGGUAGAGAACCGAGUCCCCGGCCAGCAGACAGCAAGGAACCGAGGCCUGUCAAUGACCAAUGAGUGAGCUUGGAGGGACCUUCCAUUCCUGGUCGAGCUUGACGCGACCGCGCCCCCAUCUGACAGCUUGACCACAACGUCGUGAGAGACCCUGAACCAGAGACAUCCAGCGAAGCCACCGUGGGUACAUGCUUGACCCACACAAGCUGUGAGACAAUAAUUACUGGCUGUUUCGGGUGGCUAAGUGGUGGUAUCGCUUGUUCCACGGCAACAGAUGCUCAAGGUGGGGGUCUACAUCAUUUUCAAUAAUUUGCAAGGGUGCUGGAUAGCACUGUGCACUUGUGUCCUUCAUAUCGUUCGGACAUUUUCCCCACGAUCUAGACCUGAAGAGGACAGGAAUGCAGCACGUCAAGUACACGUACACACAUGUUAAAAACAAACAAACACGUCACACGAUUCGAGAUCUUGGUUCUUGUCAUUGUUCAUGGCAGAAAACCCAAUGUUCAUUUCAUAAUAGAAACUAUAAAUCCCAAUGCAGACCAGGAGGAAUAAACCCAAUGAAUUUUUCAAUGUAGGCAGCGACGUGCAUUAGCGUGCACUGGCUUUCAAGUGAGAUAAUAAGAUGUGCGGCAUUCGAAACAAUAAAGCCACUUAUUAGGUUUUGUAACAAGAAGCAUCGUGGGACUCAAGCAGGGAAGAAAUGCACGGAAUAAAGACGCGGGAUAGGAGGACAAAAUAUUAAUAGCGGUUCUUUAUAAUUUAUGCUUCCCGAUUUUUCACCAACGAACCUUAUAUAUUUGUUUAAUUAUUAUUUUUGUUUGUUUUGAGUGUACUGCAGAUUCACACGCAGCUGGAAGAAAUAAAGCAGAGGCACCUUAAGCCCCAUUCAUCGAGCUCCUGCCAAGGGUACCAUCUUGCAUAAAUAUAGCACAAUGUCACAACCAGGAAGUAGACAUCUAUACAACCUACUGACAGUAUUCAAAUUUGGGUAGUUUUACGUACAUCCGUCUGUGUCUUUGUCUAUUUAGGUCCAUGUAAUUUUUUUCACCCGUGAAAAUGUGUCUAAUCACCACCACAAGCAAGAGUAGCUUCCUCACCACAUCAUGUCCACCUUAAUUCCAGAGCCCAUCCUUCCAAAUGUCCCUGUGCCCCUGCCAGUCCCUAGGUCCUGGCCACCACAAAUCUGUCCUCCUUCCCUAUAAUUUUCUCCCUUCAAGAUUGUUAUAUUAAGGGGUUCAUAUAGGAUGAAAAAUUUGGGGAUCCCGUUUGGGAUUUGGGAUGUGCCAAAUGUAACCACUCCCCCACUGAAGAUAUUUGAGUUGUUUCCAAUUGUUGCCUACUACAAAUAAAACUGCUAUGAGGA